AAACUCAAAGGAAUUGACGGGGAGCACCACAACGGGUGGAGCUUGCGGUUUAAUUGGAUUCAACGCCGGAAAUCUUACCGGGACCGACAGCAAUAUGAAGGCCAGGCUGAAGACUUUGCCGGAUUAGCUGAGAGGUGGUGCAUGGCCGUCGUCAGUUCGUACUGUGAAGCAUCCUGUUAAGUCAGGCAACGAGCGAGACCCACGCCCACAGUUGCCAGCGUACUCUCCGGAGUGACGGGUACACUGUGGGACCGCCGCUGCUAAAGCGGAGGAAGGAAUGGGCAACGGUAGGUCAGUAUGCCCCGAAUAUCCCGGGCUACACGCGAGCUACAAUGGUUGGUACAAUGGGUAUCUACCCCGAAAGGGGACGGGAAUCUCCUAAAACCAAUCUUAGUUCGGAUUGAGGGCUGCAACUCGCCCUCAUGAAGCUGGAAUCCGUAGUAAUCGCGUUUCAACAGAACGCGGUGAAUACGUCCCUGCUCCUU
rnacentral:rRNA from 1 species